CCCCUCUCUCCCCCUCACCCUCUCUCUCUCUCUCCCUCUCUCCCUCUCCCUCUCUCUCUCUCUCUCUCUUUUAAAAAAUCAGCCAUUUGGGGUUUUAAGCCAUAAACGAUUUUUCUUGUUGCAGGGGAUUGCAGUGGCAAAGCUAGGCUAGGUCUUGGAGGCUGGUGUAAGGCGAAGCGGGUGAAGGCAGGAGGCUGAUGGAGAGACUGGGGGGAAGAAAAGCCGAAAUGGAUUCACGGUGCCUUGGAUGGAGGACGAGAGGGGAACUGCAGGCUCCUUCAACUCGUUCUGUCCGGUGAGAAGUGAUCAAGCUUGGGCUGACAAGAGGCUCAGGGAGUCCUCACGUUCUUUCGCUUUUUUACCUGCCAAUCAAACUGCUACAAGACAACACCCUGAUCUGGCAUGGACAUCGCGGGUCCAAGCCUGUAGUCCCAAAUCGGAUAUCUCUGCAGCUGAUAACAAGCAAAAGAGAAGCCAGGCAACAGCCAUAUUAAAGAAGAAAACAAUCAACUCUGAGGAUGCCACCCUGAAAGUUUUAUUUUCUCCAGGAAAGUAGAGUUCUCUUUGAGAGUUCUAGCCCGUGAACUCAGUAUGUAAAUGUGGUCAUCAAGCAAGACGGAGCUGCCAAGAGGGGAAGAUUUUGAAUGUUUCUCUUUCCUAAAACCCUUCCCAGCGUUCCUUCUUUCGGGGGUGCUUCACUCAAAGUUUCCCCCUUCCCCCAGCCCUGUUGAAAAAGGCCCCAAAGCAACAUUGCGGGAGCUAAACCAAUUGUACUGUGAAGUUGACGAGCUGGCAUUUCGUCUGAAUCCUUUGUAAAAAUUAGAUUUUAAGUAGGGGUGAGUGUCCUUUUGGGAGAAGGGACAAGGGAGAGUGGAAGAAGAGGGGGAGGGCAUGAGCAGUUUAUAUACAUACAUACUCUUUGUGUUUGCGGGCCUCUGUGUCUUGCCUUCUCACUAUGUUAAAUCCCUAUUAUAAAACUUAUCUUCACAAAGCCUAUUAUAGUAUCCUGAGAACAAAUUGGACCAUGAAUAACUUAGUUGGAAGUGUAGAUUAUUUUCUACUCGGGGAAAGUUAGAGAUGACAACAGCUUAACUAAAAGAAUAGUGAUUACUCUUAAAUAGAUGGAUUUCAAAGUUUCACUCUUGAUGAAGAGUGCCUUUGAUAUUUCCCCUCUUCAGACUCAUGUUUCCACUUUCUUUGUAUUAAGAAUUGUCCCGGUGAUUACACUGUCCACCUAAUGCAGCCUGACUCUAACUGUAGAUCUUUUUCUUACAGGUUGCGAAUCUGUCAGAGAGGUGAGCAGAAAGACACUCUACUUCCCAUUGAUUAAAUAUAUGGUUCCAAAGUGGCACCUGUGUUUAGAUGGUGAACUCACUGUUAGAAAUAACAUCUUGCAUAAAUCAACAUUUCUCAAUUGGAUAAAAUUAUUGUUCAGAAACAUCUUAAAUUUGUUUAAUGCCCUACAGCUGACAGAACACUUCUCAAUUCAUAAUUUUGUUUGAUCCUUAGAAUGAUGUGAUGAAAUAAAUAACAUUAAUCUCACUUUACCAAGGAGGAUGCUGAGUCGCUUGCACACUGUGAUCCAGCUGAUAAAUGACAGAACUGGGAUACCAACUCAGAUUUUAUGGCUUCAAAAUGUUUUAACUGAUUAGCCCGUAGCAAUAGGUAUUUAAAUAGUUUUUGUCUUCUGUAUCCCUGAAAAUCAAGAUUUUUGUAUUAAAGAGCAAAGCUCUGUAUUUCACAGAUACAGAAGUUAAAAGACCUGAUUUUAAAAAAAAUUCUAUCCACUUACACGUAAAUGUCGUGAAUUAUUGUGUGUACUUCAAUAGUCUUUCAGAGUUGCAAGUCUUAUUUUCUAAAGAUCAAAGCCCUAUAUGAAUUAAAUAACUGCCUGCAAUUUUUAAAAUGUACUUGAAAACCAUACAUUGUUUCAAAAUAGAAUAUAACAACAAAUAAACCUCUAGAAACAGGUUCUGCCUGUAAAGUAUUUGAGAGCAUGGCAUUGAUUAAGUUCUAGAGUGCUGUAAGGGAGGUUUCCCUAAAAGUGUUUUACUGUUUUUCAGCUUCAUUGAGAUAAAUUGACAAAAUUGUAAGAUAUUUAAAGUAUAUAUUAUGAUGAUUUGAUAAAACAUACACAUGAAAUUUAUUCCUCCUAUUUAGUUAAUUAACACAUUACAUCACAUCUCUCUCUCUUUCUCUUUCUCUCUUUUUGGUGAGAACCUUUAAGUUCUACUCUGUUAACAGAUUUCAAUUAUUCAUUAUAGUGUCAUCAGUUACAGUCACCGUGUUAAGCAUUAGAUCCUCAGACCUUAUUCUAUAGCUGAAAGUUUCUACCCUUUUACCAACCGAUUCCUAAUUCCCUGACUCCCCAGUCCCUGCCCUUCUAGUUUUUCUAGACUGGCAAUUUGUAACAUCUUAGCAAGUUGGAUAAACAACGUUGUAUAGGGCUACUUUUAUUUUUCUUUGGUUUUUUCUCUUCAUUAAAAAAAAAAAAAAAGUUUGCAAAAACUCUAGAAAUAAUAAAUAAAAUAUUUAUUAUUUAAUAAAUAAAAUAGUGUUUAAUAAGUAAAAUAUUUAGUUAACUUGCUAUUGAUGUAAUCUAUCUAAAUCUAUUUAAUGUAUCUAUGUAAUCUAUCUAAUCUAUUUAAUAAAUAAAAUAUUUAGUAUUUAAUAAAUAAAAUAUUUAGUUAACUUGCUAUUGAUGUAAUCUAUCUAGACAAACAGAAAUCAAGAAAUACAAAAGGCUAAUGCCUUGGUGAUUCUUCUUAGGUUUUUAAUUACAUUGUUUUAAUUAGGUAAUGAAGUCAGUGUGGAUGUUAAUGUGGAAAUUAUUUGUUUAUUUCUUAAAUUGUAUGCACUUAAAUUAGUCAUUUUAUAUAUACUUAAGUUAAGGUUUUUGUCCUUGAAUUAUGUUGGCAGCUAGACAAAUCCAGUCAGACUUUUGGGGAUUAGAUAAAAUGAAAAAGUGUCCAGAAAAGGAAAGGCAACUGUUCUGGUUGGAUGUUACAUUUGUGAGUUUGUAUCAAUAAUGACAUAUAUUAUCACCUCUCUUAUGCUAAGGUUCCUCAAUUAAAACACGACGUUAGACUGAAGAUUGCUCAUUUUGAUUUGGAGAUAGAUGUUCAGGCCCCCAAAUUCAAACUUGUCUACUAAUCUGCAAAUUAAGCAAUGAAAAAAAUAACUCUCAUAUUAACACUAAUAUGUUUGUUUAGAUGCCUUUUGCAAUUUUUAAGUUUCUUAUUAUAUUACCAAUUUCAUUUAUUUUAGUCACAUGUGUCUUGAUAAUGUCUACCACUGUCCAAAACAUGUUUCCUUCCUUCCUUCUUUCCUCCUUCCCCCCUUCCUCCCUUCCUUCUUGUCUUCUCUUCUCUCUUCUCCUUCCUUCCCUCUCUUCCUUCCUCCCCUUAUGUUACUCAUCAGUUUUCAGGUAGUUUUGUUUUAAAAUGUAGAGCAGCUUGGGCCUUAAGGGGCUUAUCUAACACAAUCUCACGACAAAACCAGUAUGCUUGCACAAGAAAACAUUUACUUCAGUUAAACUUAUAACAAAUCGGAGAACCCCAAAGUGUAAUAUCAACACUUCUCUGACAACCAAAAUUCAAUCCUGAGGGAUUAACUUUUAAUGUUAUAGAUUCCGGUAAUUUUCCUCCUGUGCUGUCUUCAUAGUCUUUUUAAGUCAUUUAAGCUAUCAAAUAGUUUUUGUGUAAGCUUCUCAUGUUGUAAAAGGAAAAGAUGAAGGAGGAGGCGAAUUAUUUUAGUAAUCUGAAAAGAAAUGUUGUCAUGUUUAUAUGUGAGUACAUAGAAGCACCAUGGAAAACAUUGGAAAGCAUAAAUAAAGAUCAGAGAUUACUCA